UACGAGCCUAUUAGGCAAAUUUCGUGGCGAGCACGCUCGCCGACUGCAAAUAUCGCUCGGUCAGCGCCGAGCAGGAUACCACUUCCGUCGUGGCGCGGCCGGGUGGUCGGCGCUUAACGCGGCCGACAUGUUCCGCGCCUCCUUCUUCUCGCAAAUUUUCGAAACGCGUUACAAGUCGCAAGAAACGUAGCCUGGCCGUCACCAGACCCUUGAUAACAGAGAGCGGACACGGGCCGAAUCGCCAAUGGGACAGCCCGGGCCAGUUGCGUCUACUAUCUUGUCCAACGAUACCCGACAAAUUUCGUGGCUGUCAUUCGGGAUAACAUCGAAAGGAAUCAGGGCACUGUGACUGGAUCGGUCGUCCCUGGAGUAUCGCGUCUACCGUGCUAGUGGCUCACGCACCGUAGCACAGAGAGGCAACACAGCCGUCUUGGUUGCACCCUGAAAUAAGGUAGCCCCGACGACGAACCAAGGAGCCGACGUGGGUGGCCCCAGAGAGAUUUGCCUUCCGCUAAAUAUCGCCUUUGCGCCCUCGACGUGGGUGGCCCUCUCUCUUUCUCUCGCUGCUCGCUGGCCGAGGGGAAUCCUCAUCCUCCGUGGCGUGGCUGCUUUUGCCCUCCUUCGUCCUCCGUCCAGGAGCAACCGUUGUUGUCUCCUGUCCUCCUCCUCCUCCUCCUCCUCUUCCUCCUCUAUCUUCUCUUCCUUCGUCGUCAUCUUCUUCUUCCUUCUCCUCCUCUUUCUCUUCCUCUUCUCCUUCACUCUGCCUACCAUUUCUCUAUGUAUGCGUGAUAUUGGAGGAUCGCGACGAGGAUUCCUCUGGAAAGAAACGGUUCCAGGGAAAGGAGAGCGGCUCUCAAAGAUGAAUAGGUGUUAUUAUAGGUAAAGGUAAUGAAAGAUAUUGUUACGCUGUAAUAAAUAGUAUGCGGAAUCCGAAGGCGAGCCCAUGGUGAGCCGAGAUCGGUGCAAGCUGAACUGAGACGGUAAUGAUCGGUGUUCGAAGCCGUUUCCCUUCUUGCUUUAUUGAGGCUAGCCAGGCAACCCGUUUGAGGGUAGAUUUAGUGUUUCACGGGGAAAUUAAGGUCGAUUAGAACCCGGCGAAUGAGGAGUGGCGAGAGCUGCUCUUAGCGUUUGCACGGUGAUCAUACGCCAGGAGCGAGACGCACAGGCUAAUUGUCCAUUGCCAUUGUGCCCUUCUUUUUACCCAUUUAAGCGGUGAUUAACGUUAAUUGUUGCGUUCUCCGGAAUAAUUUCUUGAUGGCUCGUCGAUGGUCCUGCGUGUAAUUAUAUGGAAACAAUAAAUGAUUAAUAAUUAUGAGAUUAACGAAUUAAAUGAGAUAGUAAGAUCGUUGUUCGAACAAGUAACAACAAUCACUGUAGAGGCAACUUACUUGCCAUAUCGUAUCGUAGAAUUUACGCUCGUUUAUUAGCUUGAGGAUAAUCCAGGCUUUAGAACAUAGACUUUCCUAUUAAUUGAAUUAUCAUGGAAGUGUAAUUCAUUUCUAAUAGGAAAUAACUGGGUGCUAAUAAAGUUGUAAUCGACUCUAGUUUCUUAAUAAGUACAAUUUUUUCACAAGUAUCACUUGUCGUUCUAAGAAACAACCUCCUUCCUUUCAAAAAAAGAUGACCCUAAAAGAUCUGCUGAAACACUAACCUCAGCAGACUCGGUCAAUAGACGGGUUUCGAAAUUUAAUUUAAAAUUCCACGUUCAUCUAACUUUCCGUAAACUCUUACACUGUCUUGUUAAUUGUUAAUAUAACAAUUUACCUAAAGUCAGAUGAGCAAAAGAAACAACGACGAAUGCACAAUUUGAAAUUGAAUUUUGAAACUUGCUAAGAAUACUUCUCAAUACUUAACAAUACUUCUCCACCGACUAAUUGUUAAUUUUUUAUCUAACAGAAAUAUAAUUCUUCCUCGUUUUGUUUAAUCUUCUUCGUAAAAUUCAUAACAGGAGAGCCUGCCCUCCCUCCGACGUAUAUACUCGUCGUCGUUUGAUUUGAACUACGCGUUCCCUAGGGGAUUCUUAAAACGAAAUUCCCCACGUACCUCGAAAAUAACACUUAUUUAUCUAUUUUAUCGAACGUGCGCUACGAUCCGGAGCCAAAGGGUCUCCAACUUCUCGAGCGAAUGGCUUGCGUAAUCAAUUAGCACCCUCGGCGAGCGGCACGCGGAGGAAUGUCGAACGUGUGCAACUCGCGGCGUAACGUUGCACAGCUAAGAAUGAGAAUUCCGGCGGAGAAGAAGACAGACGGAAAGAACAGGCAGAAAAAGUUGGCCAAUCGUACAGUAUAAAUAACGUCCGGCGCGCGCAAGAACGACGCGAGCGAGGGCGUUUUUACGCGCGGUUCUGCCAAGACGCAAAGGAAAAGAAAAGAAAGCGAAACAAAACGGAAGAGUAGGCGAGCUAAGUCGAAACGCGUAUACAGUGGCAUGCAAAAGUUUUCGGUUGCGUAGACUUUUCCCUCUCUUUUCUCUUUAAUUUCAGUAUCAUUUGUUAUAUGUUAUACUGUACAUAUAUAUACAGGGUGUCCCAGAACGGGUAGCACAAUCGAGGAGCGCUAGGAUCUACGUGAAAAGAUAUGUGUGAAAUGUAGAAUAUGUUUUUUACGUUUGAGACUUCGUUGUUGAGAAAACCGAGCUUGGAAAUUUGAUUGCUAUAAAUUUGGAUAGUUGGCGAUUUGAUACAUUGUGAGAUCGGCUGCGAAGAUAUUUUUCCAUUUGAGGCUUCGUUUUCGAGAAAACAGAGUUUCAUCGUGUUUACUCAACAAUUUUAUUUCUUCCAGUUAAAAAAUAUCCACGUUUGAAUUUUAUUUGGAGAUCUGUCGGAUGCAGUUGAUGACCGAGUUUGAAUACAAGUUUUUGAGAGGUGAGUUGAAUGGCGACUUCUCAGCGAAGAAACUUUAAAAAAUACCACUUUUGUACAACUUGUCAUUAAACACAUUUGUUUCUUCCCAGCGUCCAAGGGAAAUUUAUUAUAUUUUUAUUUCAGUUUAUUUUUUUUUUCUAAUAUUAUUAUUAUUUUUCUGUCAAAAUACCUACGUGCCGAAUAUGGAGGAGCACGUUGAGUGUACGCAACAUGCAACAUGUCAAUGAUGCUGCCACUGAUGAUGAUGGUAGAGGAUUAUAUUCAUUCCAUAGCGAGGAUUACAAUAGACGGAAUAAUAGUGAAGAAUAGGUGAGAUGUAUUCGCUGUUUUCGUUGGGAUCAUGAAGAAUGUGCUGCAGGUUCGUGGUGUAGGAAACCUGUAGGAAACAAAGAAAAUGAAUGUGAUAUAAUACAAGCUAAAAAUUGCAACAUA